rnacentral:lncRNA from 1 species
CAAGAGAUGCCCACAGACUUAGUAAAACAUUUCUGGGCAUGUCAGGGAGGGUGUUUCAAGAUUAGAUUGGCAUUUGAAUUGCAGACAGUAAAGAAGAUUGCCCUCACCAAUGUGGGCAGGGAUCAUCCUAUCCAUUGAAGGUGGAAAUAGAACAAACUAGCAGAGGAAGAGCAAAUUCUUUCUCUGUGUUUGAGCUAGGACAUCCAUCUUCUCCUGCCUUUGGACAUUGGUGCUCCUGGUUUUGGGGCCUUCCUCUUUGAACUAGGACGUACACCAGCACUUCCCCCAUUUCCACUACCACUCCCAGUCCUUUCCACUCUUUGGACUGAAUUACGCCACCAGCUUUCCUGGUUCUCCAGCUUGCAGAUGGCAGAUGGUGGGACUUUUCAGCCUCCAUAAUCAUACGGCAUCUUGCUACGUUGCCCAGGCUGAACUUAAACUCCGGGGUUCAAGCAAUCCUCUCACCUCAGCCUCCUCAGUA